rnacentral:rRNA from 1 species
GGAAUAUUGGUCAAUGGGCGCAAGCCUGAACCAGCCAUGCCGCGUGCAGGAAGAAUGCCCUAUGGGUUGUAAACUGCUUUUAUUUAGGAAUAAACCUUUCUACGUGUAGAAAGCUGAAGGUACUGAAUGAAUAAGCACCGGCUAACUCCGUGCCAGCAGCCGCGGUAAUACGGAGGGUGCAAGCGUUAUCCGGAAUCAUUGGGUUUAAAGGGUCCGCAGGCGGGCGUAUAAGUCAGUGGUGAAAUCCUGCAGCUUAACUGCAGAACUGCCAUUGAUACUGUACGUCUUGAAUUCGGUCGAAGUGGGCGGAAUGUGUAGUGUAGCGGUGAAAUGCAUAGAUAUUACACAGAACACCGAUAGCGAAGGCUGCUCACUAGGCCUGGAUUGACGCUCAGGGACGAAAGCGUGGGGAUCAAACAGGAUAGAUACCCUGGUAGUCCACGC